GCAGUGGUGGUUCAGUGGCAGAAUUCUCGCCUUCCACGUGGGAGACCUGGGUUCGAUUCCCGGCCAACGUG
rnacentral:tRNA from 1 species